rnacentral:rRNA from 1 species
UACAGAGGUCUCAAGCGUUGUUCGGAUUCAUUGGGCGUAAAGGGUGCGUAGGCGGCGCGGUAAGUCGGGUGUGAAAUCUCGGGGCUUAACUCCGAAACUGCAUUCGAUACUGCCGUGCUUGAGGACUGGAGAGGAGACUGGAAUUUACGGUGUAGCGGUGAAAUGCGUAGAUAUCGUAAGGAAGACCAGUGGCGAAGGCGGGUCUCUGGACAGUUCCUGACGCUGGGGCACGAAGGUCAGGGGAGCAAACGGG